GGUAAAGUGGCUGAAGUUAAGGCGUUAAAUUGUAAAUUUAAAAAUGAAGUUAUUUUCCUUUGCUA
rnacentral:tRNA from 1 species